AUGGCGGCCGCCGGAGAGCGGCGCCUCCUCGUCGGCCUCCUCCUCCUGGCCCUGGUGGUGUCGGCGCACUGCCUCGACGGGGGCCACCACGGCCCGCGCAUGAAGCGGCGCCGCAAGAAGCGCGAGAUCCACUCCCCCGUCAAGACGGUGGUGGUGGUGGUCAUGGAGAACCGCAGCUUCGACCACGUCCUCGGCUGGCUCCGCGCCGGCCGCCCCGACAUCGACGGGCUCACCGGCACGGAGUCCAACCGCCUCAACGCGUCCGACCCGGCCUCCCCGGAGAUCUUCGUCACCGACAAGGCCGGCUACGUCGACUCGGACCCCGGCCACGGCUUCGAGGACAUCCGCGAGCAGAUCUUCGGCUCCGCCGACACCUCGGCCGUCCCGCCCCCCAUGUCCGGGUUCGCGCAGAACGCGCGCGGCAUGGGCCUCGGCAUGGCCCAGAACGUCAUGAGCGGCUUCGCGCCCGACUCGGUCCCCGUCUACGCCGCCCUCGCCGACGAGUUCGCCGUCUUCGACCGCUGGUUCGCCUCCGUGCCCACCUCCACCCAGCCCAACCGCCUCUUCGUCCACUCCGCCACCUCCCACGGCCUCACCUUCAACGCCCGCAAGGACCUCAUCAACGGCUUCCCGCAGAAGACCAUCUUCGACAGCCUCGAGGAGGAUGGCCUCUCCUUCGGCAUCUACUACCAGAACAUCCCGGCCACGCUCUUCUACCAGAGCCUCCGCCGCCUCAAGCACCUCGUCAAGUUCCACCAGUACAGCCUCAAGUUCAAGCUCGACGCCUCGCGGGGCAAGCUGCCCAACUACGUCGUCAUUGAGCAGAGGUACUUCGAUUGCAAGGAGUUCCCUGCCAACGACGACCACCCGUCGCACGACGUCGCCAGGGGCCAGAGGUUUGUUAAGGAGGUCUAUGAGACGCUGCGAGCCAGCCCGCAGUGGAACGAGACGGCUCUCAUCAUCACCUAUGAUGAGCAUGGUGGCUUCUAUGACCAUGUCCCCACGCCCGUCGUCGGGGUGCCCCAGCCCGACGGGAUUGUUGGUCCUGACCCUUACUACUUCAAAUUCGACCGACUUGGGGUGCGCGUGCCCAGCUUCCUCAUCUCCCCCUGGAUUGAGAAGGGCACUGCGAUCCAUGAACCAAAUGGUCCAUUUGAAAACUCACGAUAUGAGCAUUCAUCCAUUCCUGCAACCGUAAAGAAGCUAUUUAAUUUACGUGCUAACUACCUGACAAAGAGGGAUGCAUGGGCCGGGACCUUUGAGAACUACCUCAAAGUUCGAAAGACGCCAAGAACUGACUGUCCAGAGAAACUCCCAGAGGUUACAAAGUCUCUGCGACCAUUUGGUGCUAAUGAAGAUAAAUCUCUAUCUGAGUUUCAAGUGGAGUUGAUUCAACUCGCCUCUCAGCUCAACGGUGACCAUGUACUCAACAGCUAUCCGGAUAUUGGCAAGACAAUGAGUGUAGGAGAAGCAAACCGUUACGCAGAGGAUGCUGUCUCCAGAUUCCUGGAAGCCGGAAGAAGUGCUCUUAGGGCAGGCGCAAAUGAAUCUGCUCUGGUGACAAUGAGGCCCGCACUUACCAGCAGAGCCGCAAUGUCCACUGGCUUGUCAUCAGAGCUUUGA
rnacentral:rRNA from 1 species